AAGUCCGCGCAUUCGCGGACAACCAUACCGGUACGCAAACGCGAGCAUGCAAAGGAGAGGGACCCGUGCUCCUAGUCGUUGACCUUCCCUAAGAGCCUUCCCACCACUAACACCGCUCCCGUCUCGGCUUGCUGCUUCCCUCUCGAGGUGUGAACCCUCCCGCACCGUCGCCUCCUUUUCGCGCCCUCCUCGCUGCCGCUGCAGUUUAGUGCAGGUGGCGGUGCUCCACGAUGCGGGCCAGCGUGCGUGUGCGCGACACGCACAAGAUUGGAUGGCGUAUGCGGGCAAAGCGUGCUGUGGAGCGCGCCAUCCACAAGUAUGUCCCCGACCCACGCGACAACCCACUCACGGAGCUGCCGAUGAACUCAGAGGCUUACUCGAAGACACAUCAGCAGCAGGAGGGUAGCGUGCGCAUCGGCAUCCGCCCCGGACAGUCGAUCGAAGAUUACAUGGCGGAGCGUGAUCGCAAGUGGCUCGAUCAGCAGCGCCUCAUCUUUGAGCAGCGCGUCAAGGAUGACCACCUUCCGACUACCAAGAAUGGCCUUCCAUUCGUCGGCGCAGGCUCGCGAGAGCACUACAUGGACGUCGACUCGGCGAACAAGCUCGUGCACACCCCCGAGCCGAAAGACUACGAGAUAGACGAGGAAAUGGUGCUGCUGCGGCGCCAGCUACAGGUGGAGAACGAGGCCGAGUACCGCAAGUUCGUGGCGGAAGCAAAGCGAUCUGACAUCGCCGCACAGGAGACGUGCAAGCGGCGUCUCCCGCACCCUAGUGACCCGAACUACGACCCCUUCAAGCUGACGCCGGGGUACCGUCCGCAGGAUAGCACGGCGCUGGCGCAGUGGCUGAAGCGCCAGCGGGAGUCUGGCAAGUCGGCAAGCGGCCUCUCGCUGCAGACGAAGGAGGGCCAGGAGCGCUUCUACAACGAGGAAAAGAUGGCGACGCAGUACAACGCGAACCCGUUCGCCAAUCGCAUCGAGACUCCGCGCGGCAUGUCGACGAUGCGCAUUACCGCGUACUCCCCCGACAGCGUCUUCAUCAACGACAGGGAGGUGAUCGGGUCGUGCAUCGUGACGGAGAAAGGGUACUACCACUGGAACGUGGGCAGUUUCGAAGAGGUGAAUGAGCGGACUCUCGCGGUGCUGCUUCACAUGUACCCAGUGCCGGAUGUGGUGUUCCUGGGCACUGGCCGCAACCUGCACUUCAUCGACGAGGAUCUGCGCAUCGCCUUCCAGAAGCGCGGCACUGUGAUUCACUGUUUGACCACUCCCCAAGCAUGUGGCCAUUUUGGCGUUCAGCUCUCCGUGUCACGCCGCUCCGCCCUGGCGAUCAUCAACCCUAUCCCGACCAACGGCUACGGGGUGGAGUGCUUUGGCGACUUUGUGGAGAACGACAUGUUCUCCUUGUCCGACACCCAGCUCGGCAUUUCACCGAUGCGCCAGUUUUCGCCGUCCCUCUUCCGGCAGAACAAGGUCGCGGAGAAGUACAGGGCAACCCAGGGCACCGGUAUUGGCCCACAGUAUCACCAGCUAAGCGACGGCCGUCUUGUGCGUCCUGGCACGAGCCACACAAAGCUGCUGCCGAUGCUUGAGCCGGGCGAGACCGUGGACUGGGAGAAGCUCCCGUCUUACUACCAUUGGUAUCCGAAGGAGGAGCUGCACGACUACAUCGAGAACACGACGUGGCGCGAAAUCAAGGGCAGACCGACCGGCGAGCCGCUGGAGAAGCGCCUCAGAAAGGCGAUAUCCGGUGGCACCUUCGAGAAGGACGAGGCCCCGGCGCCAGACCUCAUGCCGUGGAACUCGGCCACGAUUCCGAUCACCAAGUUCCCGCACGAGCGCAACGACGAGGAGAUCAUCGUCGUGGACCCCAAGACAGGCCGCAUCAUCGGCAUGGAACGCGAAACGUACGAGCGCUGGAAGCGAAUGAUGGAGGAGCGCCGUGCGGGCUUGCCCGAGAGCGACCCGGUCGAGUAUGAUCAGGAGCGCUACGUUACCAACAAGGACGGCGUCGUCUUCGACCUCUCCAAGAUGAAGUACCGGCCUAUCUUCGAGGGACGCUGGAACCCGCGCCGGCAACAGAGUACCGGACGCACGAACCCGAUCAUGACAUAGACCCUGGAAAUGGUUUGUGUCUGCAAGCGGUGAGAAGCGGGAGAUGGACACUCACGAGGAGGGGGAGGGGGCGGACAAUGGUGGUGCGUAAGUGCUCAUCGAUGUCUUUCCCAAGAGGCAGUGCUGUUCUCCUUGGAUCUUCUCUAUCUUCUCUCACUCGCGCCUGCAGCACUGCUGAUCUCUUGUUCGUGCGUACGUAUCUCUUUCUCUCUGUGCGUGCGCUCUUCCCCGUGUUUCUCCGGCUUCUAGUUUCUCCAUUCUUGCUCGCUUCCACGCACACAUGCACGCUGUACAAAGGCCAGAUGACGAAGCCGGGUAUCUGCUACUGCUCUUUUUUUUCUCCUUGCUUCCGUCCUGCUUGGAGACCAAAUGCGGCGCGGAAGCAAUGGAGACGGUACGACAGGGGGCAAUCAUGGACGUACGGUCAGUGCUCGGGGCGCAGGUGGCGGUGGAGGCGGUUUUGUGUGUGCAUUCUGCAUGGCUUCUGUUCACAUUGAAACUCGCCGACGUACUUACGAGAACGGAAGAGGUGACACAUCACGAAAAAAGGAAGGAGAGGCGGCUCAACGCACAGGUGGAGUGGAUGCUUAGGUGGGGAAGGGGCUUGCGGCAGCAGUAGAUUUGUCAAGGGCGCAGCGCUCGAGUGCUUGAUGUACAUUCAAAUCCCGAUGCUUGCGUGAUUCUCUGCCAUGUGGUAAACCGCACCCCGUUCGUGUUGGCUGAUUGCGCGUUGCGCACAUCCGUGGCCGUCGAAGGACGUCUUCUCUGCUCUCUCAGACACACCUGAGAGGGGCCGUUCUACGUUCGCACAUUCACUUCGAACUAAAAGUCGGUACAUUUUCUUUUUUCCCCUUUUCUGCUCACCUUUCUCGUGCGCCCCCUCGCUCUCUCAUUCGUAUUUUCUUCUCCUUUUCAUUCCCUGCGGACGGGAUUUGUUUCAG
rnacentral:misc_RNA from 1 species